rnacentral:rRNA from 1 species
AUGACGGAGAACCACCGCUUCUGGGGAGUGGUCGUCAAACCUGGAGAGACAGUGAAGUGUGACCCAGGAGAUUCAUAUUAUCACAUUUCGACGAUAGCAUUGGAGGCUGGCAAGGCAGAAGAGGAUGUGCAAGUUUUCGUUAAAAUUGACGAUACAAGGAUUAUGCUUGGCACACUUUCAGUUGAUAAUCAUCCUCAUGUCUUAGCUGAUCUGGUGUUCAAAAAGGAGUUUGAGCUGUUGCACUCCUCAAUGACCAGCAACAUCAGCUUUAUGGGCUACAAAUUUGAUAUUAUGAAAAGAUCUCACUCAUGUACUAAACAAGAUGCUGAAUCUGACGAGGAGGUUCCAUUGGCUAUUCCACUAGACUUCAAUACAGACGGUUACAAAAACAAUGAAGCCGCACAUGGUGCCAAUAAUCUUAUUGCACCAAGGCCUGCUGAUGCUCCAUCCUCUAUACCAAUGGCUAAAGUUGAGGGAACAAAUAGUCCUGGAAAGCAAAAGGGAGAUGAUAAGGAUAAGACUGGUAUGCAGAAUUCCAGUGAUGGCGUUGAUAAUGAGAGUUCUGAUCAAGAUGUGGAUUAUCCUCGAAAGAGAACAAAGGACGAUUAUAAUCCAAUGGAAACACCUCUGAAUACACCCCAGGGGAAGAGGGCAAAGAUAGCAACACCAACUACGGGCAACAAAACUGGCUAUGUCCACGUUGCGACCCCUCAUCCGGCAGCAAAACAGGCUCGCAAGUCAGGCGACCAUGUCCACGUUGCGACCCCUCAUCCGGCAAUAAAACAGGCUCGUAAGUCAGGUGACCAUGUCCACGUCGCGACCCCUCAUCCAGCAGCAAAACAGGCUCAUAAGUCAGGUGAACAUGUCCAUGUCGCAACCCCUCAUCCAGCAGCAAAACAGGCUCGUAAGUCAGUUGACCGCGUCCACGUCGCGACCCCUCAUCCGGCAGCAAAACAGGCUUGUAAGUCAGGUGACCACGUCCAUGUCGUGACCCCUCAUCCAGCAGCAAAACAUGCAAGGAAGACACUUGAAAACAAUGAUGACAAGUCUAAGCAAUCCGCUGGCCACGUCUGCAACUCAUGCAACAGGACUUUCAGCUCCUUGAAGGGUCUUGGAGAUCAUUCCAGGGCGAAGCAUGGCGACGCCAAGUAA